rnacentral:rRNA from 1 species
CCUACGGGAGGCAGCAGUGAGGAAUAUUGGUCAAUGGGCGCGAGCCUGAACCAGCCAAGUCGCGUGAGGGAAGACGGUCCUAUGGAUUGUAAACCUCUUUUGUCGGGGAGCAAAAGACGCCACGCGUGGCGUUCCGAGAGUACCCGAAGAAAAAGCAUCGGCUAACUCCGUGCCAGCAGCCGCGGUAAUACGGAGGAUGCGAGCGUUAUCCGGAUUUAUUGGGUUUAAAGGGUGCGCAGGCGGAAGAUCAAGUCAGCGGUAAAAUUGAGAGGCUCAACCUCGUCGAGCCGUUGAAACUGGUUGUCUUGAGUGAGCGAGAAGUAUGCGGAAUGCGGGGUGUAGCGGUGAAAUGCAUAGAUAUCACGCAGAACUCCGAGUGCGAAGGCAGCAUACCGGCGCUCAACUGACGCUCAUGCACGAAAGUGUGGGUAUCGAACAGGAGUAGAUACCCGAGUAGUC